CGGGCUUCCCCGCCCGUCUUCCAGUCGCCGCUUCUGCUGCUCAGCUCCGCGCCCUGCAGCCCGCCACCGCCGCGCCGCCCGCCGGGGAGAGAGCUUUUCCUUCCUUCCGCGCUCUCGAGGCGGAUCCGAAUGACUGAACGGAAUCUAAGGAGAUGAGCCUGAGGCACAAUGCCUACUUCAGGAGCUCUUUCUUGCUUCUUAUGAUUCAAUGUCUCAAUCCCACCGCGAGGGGAAUAUGUGAUGGUGGCUGGUCCCCAUGAGGCAUCUCCAGCCUCAAGCAGGGACUUCACACCUGCAGGCCCCUGCGCAGGACUGGCCUCUCUGCUUGCACCCAUCCCGCCUGCCUUAAGGCAGACUCCCCUCCUCUAGGCUGAAACCACACCACACCCUCCGCCAGCCGAGCCUCCGUCCACUCCCCUGGACGAUCCAUGGUCCUUUUUCUGAAUUCCCAGCGGCUCUGAUAAGCCGUCAUUGGUGAAUUGAUUCAUGCUCUACAUUAGUCUAAAAAGCAUUUAAAGUGGUACUGACAGCUGUGUUCUGCCCCCAUUCUGGACUGAGUCCUCCUUCAGGCCGGUCCCAUGUCCAUGUAUCUCCCCAUCAGCGGUGUCUGGCACCCAGUGAAGAGCAACGGAGUGGAAAGAGGCCAUUAGGGAGUCAUUCAUUGGGCAGGCGUGCACCGUGGGGUGGCUGCCUAUGUGGCAGGCACUGUGCUAGUCGCGGGGAUGUGAUGGUGGACAGGCGGCCAUGGUCCCUGCUUUCACGGGCCUGGGAGCAGGCAGAGCUAAGAGCCCUGAGGAAGGAGGCUGAGGGCUUACCUGCUGCAGUCGUGUUUGUCAAGUGCUCCCAGUCCAAUAACCAUGCGAGAUAACGGGUCG